CAAUAGCGUAUAUUAAAGUUGUUGCAGUUAAAAAGCUCGUAGUUGGAUUUCUGAUCGAGACAUCAGGUCGGGUCCGAGAGGAUCAUGUACUUUGAUUUUGUUUUGAUCAUCCUUGGGGAGAGCAUUUCUGGCAUUCAGUUGUCGGGAUUGGGAUCCUCAUCGUUUACUGUGAAAAAAUUAGAGUGUUCAAAGCAGGCCUCGGCCUCUGAAUACAUUGGCAUGGAAUAAUAAGAUAGGACUUUGGUGGUCUAUUUUGUUGGUUUGCACGCCAAAGUAAUGAUUAAUAGGGAUAGUUGGGGGUAUUCGUAUUCAAUUGUCAGAGGUGAAAUUCUUGGAUUUAUGGAAGACGAACUACUGCGAAAGCAUUUACCAAGGAUGUUUUCAUUAA
rnacentral:rRNA from 1 species